UACGUAGGGGGGCAAGCGUUGUCCGGAUUUACUGGGCGUAAAGAGCGUGUAGGCGGCCAUGCAGGUCCGUUGUGAAAACUGGAGGCUUAACCUCCAGACGUCGACGGAAACCGCGUGGCUAGAGUCCGGAAGAGGAGAGUGGAAUUCCUGGUGUAGCGGUGAAAUGCGCAGAUAUCAGGAAGAACACCAAUGGCGAAGGCAGCUCUCUGGGACGGUACUGACGCUGAGACGCGAAAGCGUGGGGAGCGAACAGG
rnacentral:rRNA from 1 species